GAGGCGCUGGUGAGCGACGAGACAAGGAUUACCCGGCUGACUUCAAUCCUUCCCACCCAGCCUAGGAGGCGAUGGCACAGCCUGGAUUGGAACCAGCGAUCGCCACACAGGGAGCUCCCUGCAAUUCAGCUUCUCCAACACCACUACUGAUUUGUAGCAGGAAAAGGUCAAGGGGCUUGCGUUUACCGUCUGCUUGUAUCCUUGAGAUCAUUUCUCCAGUGAGUGAGAGGUACAAGUUUCACACCCACCACACGGCAAAUCAAUGUGCUGAAAGUCCAAACGUCUUGUGUGGUGAAGAAGGAGGAGGGAGUUUAGCUGCCUGUCAACCUCGAGCAAGGACGACACUCCUGGGAUGACAGAACAGCGCUCCUAAUGAGAGUGAGGUCAUCGCUUUACACGUGGUGCGGCACAUCUCCACUCUGGCACGCACUUGCCAAUUCUUCCUGAGCAACAUCCGAAGAAUCCGACCCUUCCUCACCAACUAUGCUACCCAGCUCCUGGUCCAGGCCCUGGUACUCUCCCGCCUAGACUACUGCAACUCCCUCCUGGCUGGCCUCCCUGCGUCCGCCACCCGUCCGCUCCAGCUCAUCCAGAACUCUGCUGCCCGCCUGGUGUUCUCUCUGCCUCGCUUCGCCCACGCUACUCCACUACUCCGCUCGCUCCACUGGCUCCCGAUCACCGCUCGCAUCCAGUUCAAGACUCUUGUACUAGCCUACAGAUGUCUUGACCAGACUGAACCCAGCUACCUCCAGACCCUCAUCUCUCCCUACACCCCAACUCGACCUCUCCGCUCCGCCUGCACUAGAAGACUGGCUC